rnacentral:rRNA from 1 species
UACGAAGGGUGCAAACGUUGCUCGGAAUCAUUGGGCGUAAAGCGCACGUAGGCGGCCUUGUAAGUCGGAUGUGAAAUCCCACGGCUCAACCGUGGAAGUGCAUCCGAAACUGCGAGGCUCGAGUAUGGAAGAGGGUCGCAGAAUUCCCGGUGUAGAGGUGAAAUUCGUAGAUAUCGGGAGGAAUACCAGUGGCGAAGGCGGCGACCUGGGCCAAUACUGACGCUGAGGAGCGAAAGCGUGGGGAGCGAACAGG